rnacentral:rRNA from 1 species
AUUGAACGCUGGCGGCAGGCCUAACACAUGCAAGUCGAGCGGAUGAAGAGAGCUUGCUCUCUGAUUCAGCGGCGGACGGGUGAGUAAUGCCUAGGAAUCUGCCUGGUAGUGGGGGACAACGUUUCGAAAGGAACGCUAAUACCGCAUACGUCCUACGGGAGAAAGCAGGGGACCUUCGGGCCUUGCGCUAUCAGAUGAGCGUAGGUCGGAUUAGCUAGUAGGUGAGGUAAUGGCUUACCUAGGCGACGAUCCGCAACUGGUCUGAGAGGAUGAUCAGUCACACUGGAACUGAGACACGGUCCAGACUCCUACGGGAGGCAGCGGUGGGGAAUAUUGGACAAUGGGCGAAAGCCUGAUCCAGCCAUGCCGCGUGUGUGAAGAAGGUCUUCGGAUUGUAAAGCACUUUAAGUUGGGAGGAAGGGCAGUAAGUUAAUACCUUGCUGUUUUGACGUUACCAACAGAAUAAGCACCGGCUAACUUCGUGCCAGCCGCCGCCGUAAUAC